rnacentral:rRNA from 1 species
UGGGGAAUAUUGCACAAUGGGCGCAAGCCUGAUGCAGCCAUGCCGCGUGUGUGAAGAAGGCCUUCGGGUUGUAAAGCACUUUCAGCGAGGAGGAAGGGUAGUGUGUUAAUAGCACAUUGCAUUGACGUUACUCGCAGAAGAAGCACCGGCUAACUCCGUGCCAGCAGCCGCGGUAAUACGGAGGGUGCAAGCGUUAAUCGGAAUUACUGGGCGUAAAGCGCACGCAGGCGGUUUGUUAAGUCAGAUGUGAAAUCCCCGCGCUUAACGUGGGAACUGCAUUUGAAACUGGCAAGCUAGAGUCUUGUAGAGGGGGGUAGAAUUCCAGGUGUAGCGGUGAAAUGCGUAGAGAUCUGGAGGAAUACCGGUGGCGAAGGCGGCCCCCCUGGACAAAGACUGACGCUCAGGUGCGAAAGCGCGGGGA